CCCGCUGGUCACGUGGUAUCAACACGGGGUUCUGUGUUUCAUUUGACUGAGUUGAAACAGUCGUUACCUGUUGUAGGUGGUCAAAUAUUUGUGCUACUUGGUGACACCUAGUGGCUCAGACAUUGCAUCCUUGCAGUAGUACGUGAACCUCAUUCCCAGCAUGUGCAUAAACUACAGUGAUGAGAACCCAUGCUGUGCCUGCCACAAAGGAGGAUAAAAGGGAGAACAUUACAGAACAUUGUCUUGACACCGGUCAUCCUAUGGAAUACAACAACACAGAGAUUCUGGCUUGCACGUCCAGCAAUUGGGAUACUAAGGAAGCUGUUGAAAUCAGACUAUCAAGCAACCUUAUUAACAGAGAUGGUGGAUUUUGUUUAAAUGCUGCUUGGAAUCCGGCUCUGCCUCUCGUCAAAAAACAGAGGGACAGAAUCAGUGCUACCUCACCUGUUGAUUAAUAGUAACUAUUGAUAUUUCUGAUGUUGGUUAUCUUUGGCUGUGUUGACACUUGUUCUGUUUGUGAUGUCUUCCUUGUUUCUCCUCUGUGAACCGAGGUAUUAAAUUUACUUGCACAUUUUUUCUUCCUGGCAUUUGUGCCUUGAGAAUGGCAGGGUGUGCUCCUGUCGAAAUAUCGGCGGUGUUAGACGUCACCCAGCAGCAAACCCGUAAGUUAUUUGAACAUCUGAAUAAUGGUGACAGCAAAUAGUGUGAAGCAAUGUAAUUCACUACACUUGCUACUCUGCUCAGUUUCUAAAAAUCCUUAGGUAUGGGACCAAAACAAA